GAUGAACGCUAGCGGCAGGCUUAACACAUGCAAGUCGAGGGGCAGCGAGGGUAGCAAUACCUGUCGGCGACCGGCGGAAGGGUGCGUAACGCGUGAGCAACAUGCCCGUGUCAGGGGGAUAGUCCAGGGAAACUUGGUCUAAUACCCCAUAGUAAUAAGAACAGGCAUCUGUUUUUAUUUAAAUUUUCGGAGGACACGGAUUGGCUGGCGUGACAUUAGCUGGAUGGUAGGGUAACGGCCUACCAUGGCAACGAUGUCUAGGGGUUCUGAGAGGAAGAUCCCCCACACUGGAACUGAGACACGGUCCAGACUCCUACGGGAGGCAGCAGUGAGGAAUAUUGGACAAUGGAUGGAAAUCUGAUCCAGCCAUGCCGCGUGCAGGAAGACGGCCCUAUGGGUUGUAAACUGCUUUUGUAUGGGAGCAAUAAGGGCCAUGCGUGGUCCGAUGAGAGUACCAUACGAAUAAGGAUCGGCUAACUCCGUGCCAGCAGCCGCCGUAAAAC
rnacentral:rRNA from 1 species